CAUAGUUAGGCACAAUAUUAAGAACGGGUGUCUCCAGUACAAAUAUUCAAAACAUUUUGAGUUAUUUACAGUCCAUGCUUCCUAUGGAGUUUCACAAUUAACUUCAACUAUCAAUGCCCAAUUAUCCAGAUGGGCAAACUAUAUUCGUAAACAAAGGUUCAUCAGUUCAGUUUAGCUACAUCAAACUAAACAUCAUCUCUCUCCGUUCUCUUCAAAAGAAGAAUCAAUUUGGUCACGGGUCGCUUGACAGUCGUCUUGUCUAACGAAGCCCGACAACGUGCACUAGUUCUUCGCGUCCUGCGAAAGUCUGAGUGAUCUCUGCCAUCCACCAAGUUCCACAUCUCUUGUCCUCCCCGAUGACCAACACGAUGUCUUCCACCUCUACGUUCUCUGCAGUUUUCUGGUUCUUUGGCCAAGGAGAAAGUUUGUGUGGCUCAGCGAAAUGCACAUACAUGUAGUUGCUCAGGUAGCUCAGCGUAAUGCACAUACAUGUAGUUGCUCAGGUAGCUCAGCGUAAUCAGGUAGCUCAGCGUACUCAGGUGGCUCAGCGUAAUGUACAUACAUGUAGCAGCGUAAUCAGGUAGCUCAGCGUAAUGUACAUACAUGUAGCAGCGUAAUCAGGUAGCUCAGCGUAAUGUACAUACAUGUAGCAGCGUAAUCAGGUAGCUCAGCGUAAUGUACAUACAUGUAGCAGCGUAAUCAGGUAGCUCAGCGUAAUGUACAUACAUGUAGCAGCGUAAUCAGGUAGCUCAGCGUAAUGUACAUACAUGU